UGGGGAAUAUUGGACAAUGGAGGAAACUCUGAUCCAGCAAUUCUGUGUGUGUGAAGGAGGUUUUAGGACUGUAAAACACUUUUAGUAGGGAAGAAAAAAAUGACGGUACCUACAGAAGAAGCAACGGCUAAAUACGUGCCAGCAGCCGCGGUAAUACGUAUGUUGCGAGCGUUAUCCGGAAUUAUUGGGCUUAAAGGGCAUCUAGGCGGUAAGACAAGUUGAAGGUGAAAACCUGUGGCUCAACCAUAGGCUUGCCUACAAAACUGUUGAACUAGAGUACUGGAAAGGUGGGUGGAACUACACGAGUAGAGGUGAAAUUCGUAGAUAUGUGUAGGAAUGCCGAUGAUGAAGAUAACUCACUGGACAGAAACUGACGCUGAAGUGCGAAAGCUAGGGGAGCAAACAGG
rnacentral:rRNA from 1 species